UACGUAGGGUGCGAGCGUUAUCCGGAUUCACUGGGCGUAAAGAGUCGUGUAGGCGGCUGGCCGCAUCGUGCUUGAAAGCCCGAGGCUUAACCUCGGCGUUGGGUACGAGAUGGGUCAGCUAGAGGAAUAGAGAGGGAAGGGGAACUGAUGGUGAAGCAGUGAAAUGCGUUGAUAUCAUCAGGAACACCAAAGGCGAAGGCACCUUCCUGGCUAUUCCCUGACGCUGGGACACGAAAGCUAGGGGAGCGAAGCAG
rnacentral:rRNA from 1 species